GACGAACGCUGGCGGCGUGCUUAACACAUGCAAGUCGAGCGGUAAGGCCCUUUCGGGGGUACGACGAGCGGCGAACGGGUGAGUAACACGUGGGUGACCUGCCCUCAGCUCUGGGAUAAGCCUGGGAAACCGGGUCUAAUACUGGAUAUGACUCCAUGACGCAUGUUGUGGGGUGGAAAGCCUUGUGCGGCUGAGGAUGGGCCCGCGGCCUAUCAGCUUGUUGGUGGGGUGAUGGCCUACCAAGGCGACGACGGGUAGCCGGCCUGAGAGGGCGACCGGCCACACUGGGACUGAGACACGGCCCAGACUCCUACGGGAGGGCAGCAGUGGGGAAGUCUUGCGCAAUGGGCGAAAGCCUGACGCAGCGACGCCGCGUGAGGGAUGAC
rnacentral:rRNA from 1 species